rnacentral:ncRNA from 1 species
GCGGACCUACGGGGCCGCAUAACCUUUCGGGCCCCACAUGGGUCUGAGCUAAAACGGAAGACAGAAA